rnacentral:rRNA from 1 species
UACGAAGGGGGCUAGCGUUGCUCGGAAUGACUGGGCGUAAAGGGCGCGUAGGCGGCUCAUACAGUCAGAUGUGAAAUUCCUGGGCUUAACCUGGGGGCUGCAUUUGAUACGUGUGGGCUUGAGUGGGGAAGAGGGUCGUGGAAUUCCCAGUGUAGAGGUGAAAUUCGUAGAUAUUGGGAAGAACACCGGUGGCGAAGGCGGCGACCUGGUCCUUGACUGACGCUGAGGCGCGAAAGCCAGGGGAGCGAACGGG